rnacentral:rRNA from 1 species
AUUGAACGCUGGCGGCAGGCCUAACACAUGCAAGUCGAACGAGUGGCGGACGGGUGAGUAAUGUCUGGGAAACUGCCUGAUGGAGGGGGAUAACUACUGGAAACGGUAGCUAAUACCGCAUACCAUCAGAUGUACCCAUAUGGGAUUAGCUAGUUGGUGGGGUAAAGGCUCACCUAGGCGACGAUCUCUAGCUGGUCUGAGAGGAUGAACAGCCACACUGGAACUGAGACACGGCCCAGACUCCUACGGGAGGCAGCAGUGGGGAAUAUUGCACAAUGGGCGCAAGCCUGAUGCAGCCAUGCCGCGUGUAUGAAGAAGGCCUUCGGGUUGUAAAGUACUUUCAGCGGGGAGGCGUUACCCGCAGAAGAAGCACCGGCUAACUCCGUGCCAGCAGCCGCGGUAAUUC